AUUGAACGCUGGCGGCAGGCCUAACACAUGCAAGUCGAACGCGUGGCGGACGGGUGAGUAAUGUCUGGGAAACUGCCUGAUGGAGGGGGAUAACUACUGGAAACGGUAGCUAAUACCGCAUACCAUCAGAUGUGCCCAGAUGGGAUUAGCUUGUUGGUGGGGUAACGGCUCACCAAGGCGACGAUCCCUAGCUGGUCUGAGAGGAUGACCAGGAACACAGGAACCGAGACACGGACAAGACUACUACGUGUGGCAGCAUUGGGGAAUAUUGCACAAUAGGCACAAGCCGGAUGCAGCCAUGCCGCGUGUAUGAAGAAGGCAUGAGGGUUGAAAAGUACUUUCAGCGGGGAGGCGUUACCCGGAGGUGACUCACCGGCUAACUCCGUGCCAGCAGCCGCGGUAAUAC
rnacentral:rRNA from 1 species